rnacentral:rRNA from 1 species
AUUGAACGCUGGCGGCAGGCCUAACACAUGCAAGUCGAACGGUAACAGGAAGCAGCUUGCUGCUUUGCUGACGAGUGGCGGACGGGUGAGUAAUGUCUGGGAAACUGCCUGAUGGAGGGGGAUAACUACUGGAAACGGUAGCUAAUACCGCAUAACGUCGCAAGACCAAAGAGGGGGACCUUCGGGCCUCUUGCCAUCGGAUGUGCCCAGAUGGGAUUAGCUAGUAGGUGGGGUAACGGCUCACCUAGGCGACGAUCCCUAGCUGGUCUGAGAGGAUGACCAGCCACACUGGAACUGAGACACGGUCCAGACUCCUACGGGAGGCAGCAGUGGGGAAUAUUGCACAAUGGGCGCAAGCCUGAUGCAGCCAUGCCGCGUGUAUGAAGAAGGCCUUCGGGUUGUAAAGUACUUUCAGCGGGGAGGAAGGGAGUAAAGUUAAUACCUUUGCUCAUUGACGUUACCCGCAGAAUAAGCACCGGCUAACUCCGUG